CCUACGGGAGGCAGCAGUAGGGAAUAUUCCACAAUGAGCGAAAGCUUGAUGGAGCGACACAGCGUGCACGAUGAAGGUCUUCGGAUUGUAAAGUGCUGUUAUAAGGGAAGAACAUUUGCAAUCGGAAAUGAUUGCAGACUGACGGUACCUUGUCAGAAAGCGAUGGCUAACUAUGUCCCAGCAGCCGCGGUAAUACAUAGGUCGCAAGCGUUAUCCGGAAUUAUUGGGCGUAAAGCGUUCGUAGGCGGUUUGUUAAGUCUGGAGUAAAGUCCCGGGGUUAAACCCCGGAGCGCAUUGGAUACUGGCAAACUAGAGUGAAGAAGAGGAGAGUGGAACUCCAUGUGAAGCGGUGAAAUGCGUAGAUAUAUGGAAGAACACCAGAGGCGAAAGCGGCUUACUGG
rnacentral:rRNA from 1 species